UACGUAGGGGGCGAGCGUUGUCCGGAAUUAUUGGGCGUAAAGAGCGUGUAGGCGGUUCGGUAAGUCUGCCGUGAAAACCUGAGGCUCAACCUCGGGCGUGCGGUGGAUACUGCCGGGCUAGAGGACGGUAGAGGCGAGUGGAAUUCCCGGUGUAGCGGUGAAAUGCGUAGAGAUCGGGAGGAACACCAGUGGCGAAGGCGGCUGCCUGGGCCUGGCCUGACGCUGAGGCGCGAAAGCUAGGGGAGCGAACGGG
rnacentral:rRNA from 1 species